AGCUUUUUGAAUCCGUGCUGAAAUCUCGUCAGACACUAACCCAUAAGGGCUGACUAGACUGACACGAUAAGUGAAGUU
rfam:Schistosoma margrebowiei strain Zambia genome assembly, scaffold: SMRZ_scaffold0000127